AUUCAACAAUAUGUGAUGUGUGAAUAAAGCAACCCAAUUUAAAAAGCAAUACAACAAAUUCCUCCAUCUUCUUAGAAAUUGAUAAAUUUGUCAAAAUGAUAGGUUUCCAAAUUCUAACUCCCGAUCAGUUUUGAGUAUGUCGUCAAUAUUUAAUUUUUAUGUUGUUAAUAUAAAUUAAUUUGUAAUCACCAUUUAAUUUUGAUCAGUUCUACAAUUAUAAUUUAAUUUCUAAUUAUUUUAAUCAAUUUUCGAAAAAAAUAAAAUCUAUGGAAAAGGGUAAUUC
rnacentral:lncRNA from 1 species